rnacentral:miRNA from 1 species
GAAAUUGUUUUGUAACUUGAU